AUUGAACGCUGGCGGCAGGCCUAACACAUGCAAGUCGAACGGCAGCACAGAAGAGCUUGCUCUUUAGGUGGCGAGUGGCGGACGGGUGAGUAAUGUCUGGGAAACUGCCCGAUGGAGGGGGAUAACUACUGGAAACGGUAGCUAAUACCGCAUAACGUCGCGAGACCAAAGUGGUGGACCUUCGGGCCUCACACCAUCGGAUGUGCCCAGAUGGGAUUAGCUAGUAGGUGGGGUAAUGGCCCACCUAGGCGACGAUCCCUAGCUGGUCUGAGAGGAUGAUCAGCCACACUGGAACUGAGACACGGUCCAGACGCCUACGGGAGGCAGCAGUGGGGAAUAUUGCACAAUGGGCGCAAGCCUGAUGCAGCCAUGCCGCGUGUAUGAAGAAGGCCUUCGGGUUGUAAAGUACUUUCAGCGGGGAGGAAGGCGGUGAGGUUAAUAACCUUGCCGAUUGACGUUACCCGCAGAAGAAGCACCGGCUAACUCCGUGCCAGCCGCCGCCGUAA
rnacentral:rRNA from 1 species